AGCAGCCGCGGUAAUUCCAGCUCCAAUAGCGUAUAUUAAAGUUGUUGCUGUUAAAAAGCUCGUAGUUGAAUUUCGGGAUUAGUGCGCCGGUCGUGCCUUCGGUAUGUACUGGUGUUACUGGUUCCUACCUUCUGACGAACCGUCAUGUCAUUAAUUUGGUGUGGCGGGGAAUCAGGACUGUUACUUUGAAAAAAUUAGAGUGUUCAAAGCAGGCUCGCGCUUGAAUACAUUAGCAUGGAAUAAUGAAAUAGGACGUUCGAUCCUAUUUUGUUGGUUUCUAGGAUUGACGUAAUGAUUAAUAGGGAUAGUUGGGGGCAUUAGUAUUCAAUUGUCAGAGGUGAAAUUCUUGGAUUUAU
rnacentral:rRNA from 1 species